UCAGUGGGCGUAACCGCAGUCAUAACGGUCAACGGUGACGUCACGUGCAUACUUUAGCAGCCCCGCCCCUUUUCAGCGCAACGCUCGUUGUUUUUUGUCUUCCGGUUUGUGUUUACACAGCGAUCUUACGUAUUUAUGAAUGAACUGCUCGUUUUAAAAUGUUCCCGGUCUACUUACAUUUGUUAAGACAUCUGCUUUAAACAUUACAAUGCUCACGAUAACUUUCGUUAACUCUACAACAAGUAAAUCCACUUCACCAGCUAAUUAUUCUUUGACAGCGAUGCCAUAGAAAUGUACAGAGCUAACGCAAAAACGGAAGUUCAAAGAUUACAAAGAUGGCGGCGCACUUGUUUCUCUGGCCAAUUUAGGGAUUUUGUCACUAGAUUUAGUGCCUUCCCUGCCCCUUUUGAGACUUUUUUCAAAAGUUUGGGGAUAAAUCUAGCAACUUCUUGGUCUACAUCUAUAUCCUACAGAGCCCCGCACAUGACAUGCAAGAAAAAAAAUUAAAUCGUGCGCACGACUUACUAAUUAAUUCCCUCGAUUUACUAAAUCAUGCGCAUGAUUGAUAAAUCGAGGGAACGAAAUAGUAAAUGGUGCGCACGAUUUAGUAAAUCGAGGGAACAAAUUAAUAAAUCGUGCGCACAAUUUAGCCUACUAUUUUUUUCCUGCAUGUCAUGUCCGGGGCUCCAUAACAUCCAUAUUUAUAUAGAUCAAAGAAUUUGCCAUUAUGAUGUCAUCUAGUGACAUUUAGCUACCAGUUUUAGCUACUUUCAGUUGAAAGCAGUUGGCAACACUGCACAUAAGGUCUAUAAAGUUCUGUUUUGCACACAUCAAUAACAAUAUAACAUAAUUAAUAAACCACUUUAUAUACUUGUUGCAAAGAAAACAUUUUUUUUUUUUGUAGUACAAGUAAAAUUGAGAACACAUUUGUGUGCAUUUUUUAUUUAGACCACACUGUAAUGGUCACAACACAGCAGAUGGAUAAAAACAAAAACACAAACAUAAUUUCACACAUGGAAGACCAAAUGUGUAAAAGUAUAACUGUGAAAGUGCUACCAAUAUAAAUACAUUCAGUUGUUUUUUUUUUUGUUGUUGUUUUUUUUCACACAUUUAAACAUUUAACAUGUAAAUUUAUACUUCAAAAUUAGAACAGAAUUUGUCAAAAAAACAACAAAAUGAUUGAAACUGUUUUUUGGGUGUAAGAAAAGAAAAAGUAAAAGCUGCUUGGGUUGAAAACUCCAGGAAAUUUGUUACAUUUACAGAGAAUCAAACAGAACUUUAAGUGCUUCUAACAGGUUAAGGCUGAUCUGUGGUAUAAAUCCAGUACAAGAUAAAGGCCAUUUGUUCAUGUGUAAAGACCUGGUAAAGUAUUACCAGAUGCUAUCCAUAUUUACAUUUACAUCUUGCAGGUAAAUUAGUCCUGAGCUAAGGGCGACAGCCAUUUACUGCUGUAACCAUGGCAAAUUAACUAUCUGUGUACAUACACAGAAUGUAAUUUGUGUUGUUGGAAAGAACAAUGGGUCUCGUUCACUAAGAAUGCGUAUAUAUACAUACAUAUGCAGGGCUCCAGACUAACGUUCGAGAAGUGGCACCAGCACCUGAUUUGGUAGCACCACACCACACAUGUAAUAUUAAUAAUUAAUAAUAAUGUUUUGUUUCUUGGAAAUACACAUUUGACAGUAGCUAGAGUUGGGACGCAGAUGUAAAUUAAUGUAAUUAACAACUGUAACAACCUAAUACAACCAGAAUUCUGGAAAUGUGACGUUUUUUAAAUUUGAAUAAAAUUAAAACACUAAAAGACUUUCAAAUCACAUGAGCCAAUAUUUUAUUCACAAUAGAACAUAGAUAACAUAACAAAUGUUUAAACUGAGAAAUUUUACACUUUUAUCCACUAAAUGAGAUCAUUUCAAAUUUGAUGCCUGCUACAGGUCUCAAAAAAGUUGGGACGGGGGCAACAAAUGGCUGAAAAAGCAAUAAAUUUUGAAAAGAUUCACCUGGGAGAACAUCUAGCAACUAAUUAACUAUAAAAGGGAUGUCUUAGAGAGACAGAGUCUCUCAGAAGUAAAGAUGGGCAGAGGCUCUCCAAUCUGUGAAAGAGUGCGCAAAAAGAUUGCGUAAUACUUUAAGGCUUUGCAAAUCUCAUCAUCUACAGUCCAUAACAUCAUCAAAAGAUUCAGAGAAACUGGAGAAAUCUCCGGGCCCUCAGACAACACUGCAUCACUCAUUGGCAUGAUUGUGUCGAUGACAUUACUAAAUGGGCCCAGGAAUACUUCCAGAAACCACUGUCGGUAAACACAAUCUGCCGUGCCAUCUGCAGAUGCCAACUAAAGCUCUAUCAUGCAAAAAGGAAGCCAUAUGUGAACAUGGUCCAGAAGCGGCGUCAUGUCCUGUGGGCCAAGGCUCAUUUAAAAUGGACUGUUUCAAAGUGGAAAAGUGUUCUAUGGUCAGACGAGUCCAAAUUUGACAUUCUUGUUGGAAAUCACGGACGCCGUGUCCUCCGGGCUAAAGAGGAGGGAGACCUUCCAGCGUGUUAUCAGCGUUCAGUUCAAAAGCCAGCAUCUCUGAUGGUUUGGGGGUGCAUAAGUGCAUACGGUAUGGGCAGCUUGCAUGUUUUGGAAGAUACUAUGAAUGCUGAAAGGUAUAUAAAGGUUGUAGAGCAACAUAUGCUCUCCUCCAGACGAAAUCUAUUUCAGGGAAGGCCUUGUGUAUUUCAGCAGGACAAUGCAAAACCACAAACUGCAGCUAUUACAACAGCAUGGCUUCGUCGUAGAAGAGUCCAGGUGCUGAAUUGGCCUGCCUGCAGUCCAGAUCUUUCACCUAUAGAGAACAUUUGGUGCAUCAUUAAACGAAAGACGACCACAAACUCUUCAGCAGCUGGAAACGUAUUCGGUUGUUAAGUCUGACGUAAUAACCUUUAUCUCCAUACCCAAAUCCCAGAUGGCCAGACAGUGAUUCAGUUUUUAUAAAUGUUAAAAUAUUAAUGUCUGUGACGCUGUGAGCACGGAGACGGUUGUGUAGACUGUAAGUAUUUUAAGUUUUUAACUUUUUAAAAUGUUUAAUAUGAAUAAAUAGUGCUCAUAAACGGCCGUCGAGACGGCAUUCUCAAGCGAAACGAGUCAAGGCUUGGAACCAGAAACGGCGUUCCUUACGUCACGACUUAACAAGCGGAUAUCAGGCAAGAAUGGGACCAAAUUCCAACACCAAAACUCCAGAAACUCAUAACCUCGAUGCCCAGACGUCUUCACACUGUUUUGAAAAGAAGA